UUUUAAGGUACAGGGAUCAUCUCUAGAAAAAUGCAAAUCUAUUAGCUAUUAUUUGCAUUAUCUGACUACGCCAAACAAUAACUAAAGACAUGUCUUCAAAAUUUUUUAAACAAUUGAUUGCAAGUGAAUAUUUCUGAGGUUUUUCCUCUUAAUUUCAUUAUAGUAAACAACUAGCAGAAAAGAGGCAGUCAAGCAUCAAAAGAAACAUGUUUAGCUGAUUCACCUGCUGUCUUUAAGUUAAUUAAAAAUUGAUCCUUACGCCUUUGGGAAGUGAAAGAAUAACUUCAAAAUUUUCAAUUGUAAUUUUAUUUCCCAGUGUUUUAUUUGAACUAUCAGAUUGGUUAAAUAAGAUAUUUGAAAACCUUGAAGUGUCGAGCAGGCAAAAUGGAUACCUUUGUGGAAGAAAUGGGAUGAACUUUAGAAAGAGUUAAUGUCUGGGAUUUUCCUUGAAAUCAUUGCUGAGUAGGGAAGUCAGAAGGGGAGAAGGGAGAUGAUGGCUCAGUGUGUACAUUAAUCAAGAAAAGCCAUGAGUUAAUCAACAUCACAGCAAAGAGGCCAACGUGAUUGAAGCAGAGAGAAUGAGGGAAAAAGCAGUCCACAAUGAAGUCAAAGAGGUGGUGCCGAGGAUCAAACCCAGUGCCUCAGGCAUGCCAGUUGCUCCACGAAGCCAGAAUUUGGACAUAUGGAAGGUCUUGCAUUUUUCACCAAAGCAAAAGCACUGGUAAAUGAAAUUUCUUCAGAAUUCAUCAGGAAGCCUAUAACAAUUGCAGCAGCCCUGGAAACCCCUGCAUUACAAUGAACAAGAACCACACCAUCCUGCAAUAAAAUAAAAUAUCCAUUAUUCAUUUGA